CAAGAUAUAGCUUAAUU
rnacentral:tRNA from 1 species